rnacentral:rRNA from 1 species
AACGAACGCUGGCGGCAUGCCUAACACAUGCAAGUCGAACGCUCAUGAGGGUUUCGGCCCUUGUGGGAGUGGCGCACGGGUGAGUAGCGCGUGGGAACCUGCCCUGUUGUGGGGGAUAACCGAGGGAAACUUCGGCUAAUACCGCAUGCGCCCCCGGGAGAGCUCCUGGGGGGAAAGAUUUAUCGCAGCAGGAGGGGCCCGCGUCGGAUUAGCUGGUUGGGGGGGUAACGGCCUACCAAGGCGAUGAUCCGUAGCUGGUCUGAGAGGAUGAUCAGCCACACUGGGACUGAGACACGGCCCAGACUCCUACGGGAGGCAGCAGUGGGGAAUAUUGGACAAUGGGCGCAAGCCUGAUCCAGCAAUGCCGCGUGAGUGAUGAAGGCCUUCGGGUUGUAAAGCUCUUUCGCCCGCGACGAUGAUGACGGUAGCGGGAGAAGAAGCCCCGGCUAACUUCGUGCCAGCCGCCGCCGUAAAAC